GCAGUCGAGCGGGCGUAGCAAUACGUCAGCGGCAGACGGGUGAGUAACGCGUGGGAACGUACCUUUUGGUUCGGAACAACACAGGGAAACUUGUGCUAAUACCGGAUAAGCCCUUACGGGGAAAGAUUUAUCGCCGAAAGAUCGGCCCGCGUCUGAUUAGCUAGUUGGUGAGGUAACGGCUCACCAAGGCGACGAUCAGUAGCUGGUCUGAGAGGAUGAUCAGCCACAUUGGGACUGAGACACGGCCCAAACUCCUACGGGAGGCAGCAGUGGGGAAUAUUGGACAAUGGGCGCAAGCCUGAUCCAGCCAUGCCGCGUGAGUGAUGAAGGCCCUAGGGUUGUAAAGCUCUUUUGUGCGGGAAGAUAAUGACGGUACCGCAAGAAUAAGCCCCGGCUAACUUCGUGCCAGCAGCCGCGGUAAUACGAAGGGGGCUAGCGUUGCUCGGAAUCACUGGGCGUAAAGGGUGCGUAGGCGGGUCUUUAAGUCAGGGGUGAAAUCCUGGAGCUCAACUCCAGAACUGCCUUUGAUACUGAAGAUCUUGAGUUCGGGAGAGGUGAGUGGAACUGCGAGUGUAGAGGUGAAAUUCGUAGAUAUUCGCAAGAACACCAGUGGCGAAGGCGGCUCACUGGCCCGAUACUGACGCU
rnacentral:rRNA from 1 species